rnacentral:sRNA from 1 species
ACUAGUAUUACAAAAAAACAAUAGAAAUAGACAUAGUAUUACAGAAGGGGAAAUACAGUAUUACAUAGUAUGUCCAUACAAUCAAAACAACAAAUCACUGUAGAAACAAAGUAAAAUACUCAGAUAGGCGUAUUCCCAAAUAAU